GUACACACCGCCCGUCACACCAUGGGAGUUGCUUUACCCGAAGUCGUUUCGCUAACCGCAAGGAGGCAGGCGACCACGGUAGGGCAGCGACUGGGGUAAGUCGUAACAAGGUAGCCGUAGGUGAACCUGCAGAAGGAUCA
rnacentral:rRNA from 1 species